AAGAAACCUGGAGGAGGGAAUCGCUGUGUCUGCAGCAAUGAAAGUUUCCAGGGGUCCAAGGAGAGCUCCUCCCUCGAUGAUGCUCAGCCAGGUUCUCCCAACCAGGGGCAGACCCCCUUACCCCUUUCCCAGUCCCCCUUCCCCGGCUGCCGGCCUCCGUUUGCAGCGGCCUUUCAUUAACAGCGCCGGUAGGAACACCACCAUUCCCAAAAAGAAAGAGGGGAAGCGAUGUUACAGACUUUACUCCCCACCCCCCACAGCCCACCUGAGCCCCGGCGGCAGCCCCUUUGGCGGCGUGGGGUAGCCACCUAGCCCCUCCUUUUGGCCUCAAAUCCGAGACUUUCCUGGCUGAGCCCUGACUUCUGGGUGAAGGUCCCGAAGGAAGGGACACCCCGAAAAAAGUGACACACCCCCCCCCCCCCAGCCGCCCCCAUCGGGUGAUAUGGGGACAGGGGCGGUGUGUUUGCGAAUGGGUGGGAAAUGCCGGGGCCAAGGGGAGGAGGGAGACACGUCGCAGUCCAGAGUGGGGCAUAACCGUGGCCACCCCCCUUCCUCCACCCCUCCUUCCUCCGCUUUACCUCUCCUGGGUGAGCAGGGCUGCUCUGGAGAAGCUUAACCCUGGACCCCUGCGGAUGGACCGCGUUGCACAAGAUGGUAGUGCCUCUUCAAAACAAGACCCGGAAGAAACUGUACUUCAGAAGUCAGCUGGAGGAAAAACAACUUCUAAAUUUCGACCUUUUGCUGAAA